UACGUAGGGUGCAAGCGUUAAUCGGAAUUACUGGGCGUAAAGCGUGCGCAGGCGGUUUUGUAAGUCUGUCGUGAAAGCCCCGGGCUCAACCUGGGAAUUGCGAUGGAGACUGCAAGGCUUGAAUCUGGCAGAGGGGGGUAGAAUUCCACGUGUAGCAGUGAAAUGCGUAGAGAUGUGGAGGAACACCGAUGGCGAAGGCAGCCCCCUGGGAUGACACUGACGCUCAUGCACGAAAGCGUGGGGAGCAAACAGG
rnacentral:rRNA from 1 species